UGGUGGAGUGAUUUGUCUGGUUAAUUCCGUUAACGAACGAGACCUCAGCCUGCUAACUAGUCUAGUCCAUUUCUUAUGGCUCUACACUUCUUAGAGGGACUAUCGGAUUCCAAGCCGAUGGAAGUAUGAGGCAAUAACA
rnacentral:rRNA from 1 species